rnacentral:rRNA from 1 species
CGAAAGCCUGACGGAGCAAGACCGCGUGGGGGAGGAAGGCUCUAGGGUUGUAAACCCCUUUUCUCAGGGAAGAAGAAAGUGACGGUACCUGAGGAAUCAGCCUCGGCUAACUCCGUGCCAGCAGCCGCGGUAAUACGGAGGAGGCAAGCGUUAUCCGGAAUGAUUGGGCGUAAAGCGUUCGUAGGUGGCAAUUCAAGUCUGCUGUCAAAGACUGGGGCUUAACUCCGGGCAGGCAGUGGAAACUGACAGGCUAGAGUGCAGGAGGGGUAGAGGGAAUUCCCGGUGUAGCGGUGAAAUGCGUAGAUAUCGGGAAGAACAUCGGUGGCGAAGGCGCUCUACUGGACUGCAACUGACACUCAGGGACGAAAGCUAGGGGAGCG